CUCCUGGGUGACGAGCGGCGGACGGGUGAAUAAUGUCUGGAACUGACUGAUGGAGGGGGAUACUACUGGAAACGGUAGCUAAUACCGCAUAACGUCGCAAGACAAAGAGGGGGACCUUCGGGCCUCUUGCCAUCAGAUGUGCCCAGAAUGGGAUUAGCUAUUAGUGGGGUAACGGCUCACCUAGCGACGAUCCCUACUGGUCUGAAGGAUGACCAGCCACACUGGAACUGAACACGGUCCAACUCCUACGGGAGCAGCGGUGGGGAAUAUUGCACAAUGGGCGCAAGCCUGAUGCAGCCAUGCCGCGUGUAUGAAGAGGGCCUCCGGGUUGUAAAGUACUUUCAGCGGGGAGGAAGGUGUUGUGGUUAAUAACCACAGCAAUUGACGUUACCCGCAGAAGAAGCACCGGCUAACUCCGUGCCAGCAGCCGCGGUAAUACGGAGGUGCAAGCGUUAAUCGGAAUUACUGGGCGUAAAGCGCACGCAGCGGUCUGUCAUCGAUGUGAAUCCCCGGGCUCAAACCUGGGGAACUGCAUUCGAAAACUGGCAGGCUAAAGUCUUGUAAAGGGGGGUAGAAUUCCAGGUGUAGCGGUGAAAUGCG
rnacentral:rRNA from 1 species